UACGUAGGGGGCAAGCGUUGUCCGGAUUUAUUGGGCGUAAAGAGCGUGUAGGCGGCUUUACAGGUCCGUUGUGAAAACUCGAGGCUCAACCUCGAGACGCCGGUGGAAACCGUAAGGCUAGAGUCCGGAAGAGGAGAGUGGAAUUCCUGGUGUAGCGGUGAAAUGCGCAGAUAUCAGGAAGAACACCAACGGCGAAGGCAGCUCGCUAGGACGGUACUGACGCUGAGGCGCGAAAGCGUGGGGAGCGAACAGG
rnacentral:rRNA from 1 species